rnacentral:rRNA from 1 species
UACGGGGGGAGCAAGCGUUGUUCGGAUUUACUGGGCGUAAAGGGCGCGUAGGCGGUAGCACAAGUCAGUUGUGAAAUCUCCGGGCUUAACUCGGAAAGGUCAACUGAUACUGUGCGACUAGAGUGCAGAAGGGGCAACUGGAAUUCUCGGUGUAGCGGUGAAAUGCGUAGAUAUCUGGAGGAACACCGGUGGCGAAGGCGGCUCUCUGGAUCGGCCCUGACGCUGAGGCGCGAAAGCGUGGGGAGCGAACGGG